rnacentral:misc_RNA from 1 species
UGAGCCUUAUCAUGGGAGAUCCCGGUACCAAAGGGACUAUGGCAGGGAAACUGAAAGAAAGAGAAGUAGAUAUGAAAGUUCGAGAAGAACUCCUGGUAGAUCUGAUUGGGAUGAUGGUAGAUGGGAAUGGGAAGAAACACCACGUAGAGAUGGCCGCUCUAACUCUAGUAGGCACCAUCAACCUUCACCAUCCCCAAUGUAUGUCGGUGCCUCACCAGAUGCUCGGUUAGUUUCUCCAUGGUUAGGUGGGAACACUCCUAAUUCUACUGGUUAUUCUGCUUCCCCUUGGGAUCAGAUCUCUCCUUCUCCAGUUCCAGUGCGUGCCUCUGGAUCUUCAGUAAAGUCAUCAA